AUUGAACGCUGGCGGCAUGCCUUACACAUGCAAGUCGAACGGCAGCACGGGAGCAAUCCUGGUGGCGAGUGGCGAACGGGUGAGUAAUGUAUCGGAACGUACCUCUCAGUGGGGGAUAACGUAGCGAAAGUUACGCUAAUACCGCAUAUUCUGUGAGCAGGAAAGCAGGGGAUCGCAAGACCUUGCGCUGACUGAGCGGCCGAUAUCAGAUUAGCUAGUUGGUGAGGUAAAGGCUCACCAAGGCGACGAUCUGUAGCGGGUCUGAGAGGAUGAUCCGCCACACUGGAACUGAGACACGGUCCAGACUCCUACGGGAGGCAGCAGUGGGGAAUUUUGGACAAUGGGCGCAAGCCUGAUCCAGCCAUGCCGCGUGAGUGAAGAAGGCC
rnacentral:rRNA from 1 species